rnacentral:rRNA from 1 species
GAUGAACGCUGGCGGCGUGCCUAAUACAUGCAAGUCGAGCGAACAGACGAGGAGCUUGCUCCUCGGACGUUAGCGGCGGACGGGUGAGUAACACGUGGAUAACCUACCUAUAAGACUGGGAUAACUUCGGGAAACCGGAGCUAAUACCGGAUAAUAUAUUCAACCGCAUGGUUCAAUAGUGAAAGACGGUUUUGAUGUCACUUAUAGAUGGAUCCGCGCCGCAUUAGCUAGUUGGUAAGGUAACGGCUUACCAAGGCGACGAUGCGUAGCCGACCUGAGAGCGUCAUCGGCCAGCCUGGAACUGAGACGCGGUCCAGACUCCUACGGGAAGAAGCAGUAGGGAAUCUUACGCAAUGGGCGAAAGCCUGACGGAGCAACGCCGCGUGAGUGAUGAAGGUCUUCGGAUCGUAAAACUCUGUUAUUAGGGAAGAACAAAUGUGUAAGUAACUAUGCACGUCUUGACGGUACCUAAUCAGAAAGCCACGGCUAACUACGUG